CGCUCUCUGCCCAGCUACCUCACGCGCACCUCACUGAUGCCGGAGCCGGAAUAUGACGUAAUUCCGGCUCCGGUAUCAGUAAGCGUCGCGCGAGGGAGCUGGGCAGAGAGUGCU